rnacentral:rRNA from 1 species
GUGGGGAAUAUUAGGCAAUGGGGGAAACCCUGACCUAGCAACGCCGCGUGAAGGAUGAAGGUCUUCGGAUUGUAAACUUCUUUGGCCCGGGACGAUAAUGACGGUACCGGGAGAACAAGCCACGGCUAACUACGUGCCAGCAGCCGCGGUAAUACGUAGGUGGCAAGCGUUGUCCGGAUUUACUGGGUGUAAAGGGCGAGUAGGCGGGGAUGCAAGUCAGAUGUGAAAUACCGAGGCUUAACUUCGGAGCUGCAUUUGAAACUGCAUUUCUUGAGUGAUGGAGAGGCAGGCGGAAUUCCCGGUGUAGCGGUGAAAUGCAUAGAGAUCGGGAGGAACACCAGUGGCGAAGGCGGCCUGCUGGACAUUAACUGACGCUGAGGCGCGAAAGUGUGGGGAGCAAACAGGAUUAGAUACCCUUGUAGUCC